rnacentral:rRNA from 1 species
CACGUAGGGCGCGAGCGUUGUCCGGAAUUAUUGGGCGUAAAGAGCUCGUAGGCGGCCUGUUGCGUCCGCUGUGAAAGCCCGGGGCUUAACCCCGGGUCGGCAGUGGAUACGGGCAGGCUAGAGGUAGGUAGGGGAGAAUGGAAUUCCCGGUGUAGCGGUGAAAUGCGCAGAUAUCGGGAGGAACACCGGUGGCGAAGGCGGUUCUCUGGGCCUUACCUAACGCUGAGGAGCGAAAGCGUGGGGAGCGAACAGG